AUUGAACGCUGGCGGCGUGCUUAACACAUGCAAGUCGAACGUGAAAGUCCUUCGGGGCGAGUAAAGUGGCGCACGGGUGAGUAACGCGUGGAUAAUCUACCCUUAAGAUGGGGAUAACGGCUGGAAACGGUCGCUAAUACCGAAUACGCUCCCGAUUUUAUCGUUGGGGGGAAAGAUGGCCUCUGCUUGCAAGCUAUCGCUUAAGGAUGAGUCCGCGUCCCAUUAGCUAGUUGGCGGGGUAACGGCCCACCAAGGCGACGAUGGGUAGCCGGUCUGAGAGGAUGACCGGCCACACUGGAACUGGAACACGGUCCAGACUCCUACGGGAGGCAGCAGUGGGGAAUAUUGCGCAAUGGGCGAAAGCCUGACGCAGCGACGCCGCGUGAGGGAUGAAGGUUCUCGGAUCGUAAACCUCUGUCAGGGGGGAAGAAACCCCCUCGUGUGAAUAAUGCGAGGGCUUGACGGUACCCCCAAAGGAAGCACCGGCUAACUCCGUGCCAGCAGCCGCCGUAA
rnacentral:rRNA from 1 species